CAGUCCACUCCCUAAGUUUUAGCUCAGCAGGUGAAAAAUUCAAAGAAGUGAAAAGCCUUCAACAGGGCCUUAAACAGCACUGUUAUAAGGAGAAAAAACCUCCCAUAUAUGAGCCCAUUGAAUUUUUGAAAUUUUGUUCCAAGCAUGGUGCUGCAAAUUGUUUUAAUUGUGUCGGCUUGGAUGACCUCUUCUCGCCAUUCUGAAGAUCGAAUUGGCCUGUAGGCGAAACGACUUCCAGGCAAAACGAUCGGUUUCCAUUGCAAAGUAGAACAGAUCACCAUAAAUGCAAUGGCUAAAAAUAAAUUUUACUCAAACCCGGAAUACAGCCCUCUUUUUAUACAGCAUGAGGCAGGGCUCGUCUCUUCUCUCAGGAUAAGCCAGAUUCCUGAAUAAAUCUUUCUCUACAAUUGAACUAUAAUAAU